GACGAACGCUGGCGGCGUGCUUAACACAUGCAAGUCGAACGGAAAGGCCCUGCUUUUGUGGGGUGCUCGAGUGGCGAAGGGGUGAGUAACACGUGAGUAACCUGCCCUUGACUUUGGGAUAACUUCAGGAAACUGGGGAUAAUAUCGGAUAGGAGAUCCUGCAGCGUGGUGGGGAUUGGAAAGUUUCGGCGGUUGGGGAUGGACUCGCGGCUUAUCAGCUGGUUGGUGGGGGAGUGGCGUCCCAAGGCUUUGACGGGUAGCCGGCCUGGGAGCGUGGCCGGCCACAUUGCUCCUGCGAUACGGCCCAGUCUCCAACGGUAGGCAGCAGUGGGGAAUAUUGCACAAUGGGCGGAAGCCUGAUGCAGCAACGCCGCGUUCGUGAUGACGUCCUUCGGGUUGUAAACCGCUUUCGCCUGUGACGAAGCGUUAGUGACGGUAAUGAGUAAAGAAGCACCGGCUAACUACGUG
rnacentral:rRNA from 1 species